rfam:Populus trichocarpa scaffold_2_contig_91, whole genome shotgun sequence.
AGGACCCAGUUCUCUUGAGUCCUGCGUCCGGACCCAGUACUAUUGGGUCUUGCAACAUGACUCAGUGCUCCUGGGUUCAGUGUUAGGACCCAAGGCUAAUGGGUCCU